rnacentral:rRNA from 1 species
AGAGUUUGAUCCUGGCUCAGGAUGAACGCUAGCGACAGGCUUAACACAUGCAAGUCGAGGGGCAGCACAGGUAGCAAUACCGGGUGGCGACCGGCGCACGGGUGAGUAACGCGUAUGCAACUUGCCUAUCAGAGGGGGAUAACCCGGCGAAAGUCGGACUAAUACCGCAUGAAGCAGGGGCCCCGCAUGGGGAUAUUUGCUAAAGAUUCAUCGCUGAUAGAUAGGCAUGCGUUCCAUUAGGCAGUUGGCGGGGUAACGGCCCACCAAACCGACGAUGGAUAGGGGUUCUGAGAGGAAGGUCCCCCACAUUGGUACUGAGACACGGACCAAACUCCUACGGGAGGCAGCAGUGAGGAAUAUUGGUCAAUGGCCGAGAGGCUGAACCAGCCAAGUCGCGUGAGGGAUGAAGGUUCUAUGGAUCGUAAACCUCUUUUAUAAGGGAAUAAAGUGCGGGACGUGUCCCGUUUUGUAUGUACCUUAUGAAUAAGGAUCGGCUAACUCCGUGCCAGCAGCCGCGGUAAUACGGAGGAUCCGAGCGUUAUCCGGAUUUAUUGGGUUUAAAGGGUGCGUAGGCGGCCUUUUAAGUCAGCGGUGAAAGUCUGUGGCUCAACCAUAGAAUUGCCGUUGAAACUGGGGGGCUUGAGUAUGUUUGAGGCAGGCGGAAUGCGUGGUGUAGCGGUGAAAUGCAUAGAUAUCACGCAGAACCCCGAUUGCGAAGGCAGCCUGCCAAGCCAUUACUGACGCUGAUGCACGAAAGCGUGGGGAUCAAACAGGAUUAGAUACCCUGGUAGUCCACGCAGUAAACGAUGAUCACUAGCUGUUUGCGAUACACUGUAAGCGGCACAGCGAAAGCGUUAAGUGAUCCACCUGGGGAGUACGCCGGCAACGGUGAAACUCAAAGGAAUUGACGGGGGCCCGCACAAGCGGAGGAACAUGUGGUUUAAUUCGAUGAUACGCGAGGAACCUUACCCGGGUUUGAACGCAUUCGGACCGAGGUGGAAACACCUUUUCUAGCAAUAGCCGUUUGCGAGGUGCUGCAUGGUUGUCGUCAGCUCGUGCCGUGAGGUGUCGGCUUAAGUGCCAUAACGAGCGCAACCCUUGCCACUAGUUACUAACAGGUAAAGCUGAGGACUCUGGUGGGACUGCCAGCGUAAGCUGCGAGGAAGGCGGGGAUGACGUCAAAUCAGCACGGCCCUUACAUCCGGGGCGACACACGUGUUACAAUGGCGUGGACAAAGGGAAGCCACCUGGCGACAGGGAGCGAAUCCCCAAACCACGUCUCAGUUCGGAUCGGAGUCUGCAACCCGACUCCGUGAAGCUGGAUUCGCUAGUAAUCGCGCAUCAGCCAUGGCGCGGUGAAUACGUUCCCGGGCCUUGUACACACCGCCCGUCAAGCCAUGGGAGCCGGGGGUACCUGAAGUCCGUAACCGCGAGGAUCGGCCUAGGGUAAAACUGGUGACUGGGGCUAAGUCGUAACAAGGUAGCCGUACCGGAAGGUGCGGCUGGAACACCU